AUGGUGGUGCAGUCGCCCCAGCAUGUGAAUCUCGACCUCCAUCUCAUGCUACUUUUGACAGAGUUCCAGCCCUGUCUGUGGGCUGAGAGGACACCAGCUAUGUCACCCCCAUCUCAGAAGGAUAUAGAGUUUCUCGGGAAGCGGCCACUUUGCACUGGGGCAGUGGAACAAAAUGAUAUAUCAAUGUCCAGAGCAAGAGAAAAGACUGCCCACUCAUCUUGUAACACAUCCAUUGUAAACUUUGACAACUUGCCUAUACACUGGUACCGGCUAGAGCCAAAUCAGCAUUUUGAGUAUCUCUUAUAUGUCCUGGCAGUUCCCAAUCAAAGUGGGAGUAAGUUUGAGGCAAGUAAAGAUUCUUGCACUUCCAUGUCCAUGUUGAAAAUAAAUUUCUUGGAGAAAGAAGGUGAGGCCACAUAUUACUGUGUAUACUGGAAGCAGCACAGUUGGAUCAAGAUAUUUGGAGAAGGGACAAAGCUCAUUGUAACUUCCCCAGGUGAACGCUUUAGCAACGGUAUUUCCCCCAAGCCCACUAUUUUUCUUCCUUCAGUGCCUGAAACAAACCUCCAUGAGGCUGGAACGUAUCUUUGUCUUCUGGAGAAUUUUUUCCCUGAUGUUAUUAAGGUAUAUUGGCAGAGAGCAGACGACAAUAGAAUUCUGGAAUCUCAGCAGGGAGAUACCAUGAAGACUAACGACACCUACAUGAAGUUUAGCUGGUUAACUGUGACUGGAGAUUCCAUGACUAAGGAGCACAAAUGUAUUGUCAGACAUGAGGCUAAUGAAGGAGUUGAUCAACAGAUUCUCUUUCGUCCCAUAAAGCAAGCUGUCACUAUUGAUUCUGAACCUUGUUUCAAACAUGAAACUGGCUUGCUACGCCUGCAGUUCACCAGCACCUCGGCCUACUACACCUACCUGCUGCUGCUGCUCAAGAGCGCCCUCCACGGGGCUCUGGUUGUCUUCUGCCUGCUUCGAAGGCUCCGGGUCUGCUGUGACCAGAAGAGCUCCUAAGAGUGGAGGUGUAAGUGUUGGCUCUGUCUUCAGCGUUUCCAGGUCCCAGCAACGUUUGCUGAGGGUCUGCCUGGCUGGUGGAGAUUGUUCUACUGUAGGACCCUUGCCCAGUCUUUGUCAUUAUCACAAACGAUAGGCAAACUCCGCGACUUUUAGCUGUCAGCGCCGCCUGAGCCCCGUCCCCCUACGGUUCCCACAACCAUUGCAGCCAGCCAAGGCCCCACAGCCUUGGUGCACACAGCUCCUGCUUCUGGCCAGGGCCUCAGUGACCAUGGACUGGGCCACCCUGGAAGCUCUACCCACCUGGACACAUCCUCUUUGCCCCUGAGCUUCGCUUUUUCAUAGUAGACGCAAUGAA